AGUGAACGCUGGCGGUAGGCCUAACACAUGCAAGUCGAACGGCAGCACAGUAAGAGCUUGCUCUUACGGGUGGCGAGUGGCGGACGGGUGAGGAAUACAUCGGAAUCUACUUUUUCGUGGGGGAUAACGUAGGGAAACUUACGCUAAUACCGCAUACGACCUACGGGUGAAAGCAGGGGAUCUUCGGACCUUGCGCGAUUGAAUGAGCCGAUGUCGGAUUAGCUAGUUGGCGGGGUAAAGGCCCACCAAGGCGACGAUCCGUAGCUGGUCUGUGAGGAUGAUCGGCCACACUGGAACUGAGACACGGUCCAGACUCCUACGGGAGGCAGCAGUGGGGAAUAUUGGACAAUGGGCGCAAGCCUGAUCCAGCCAUACCGCGUGGGUGAAGAAGGCCUUCGGGUUGUAAAGCCCUUUUGUUGGGAAAGAAAAGCAGCAGGUUAAUACCCCGCUGUUCUGACGGUACCCAAAGAAUAAGCACCGGCUAACUUCGUG
rnacentral:rRNA from 1 species